AUGACAAUACCAAUUCGUAAAUCUCACCCCUUAUUUAAAAUUCUAAAUGGAGCAGUAGUCGAUUUACCAGCCCCAGCCAAUAUUUCUACACUUUGAAAUUUUGGGUCUCUCUUAGGUUUAUGUUUAGUAAUCCAAAUUGUUACUGGGCUCUUUUUAGCUAUACACUAUACAGCCCACGUAGACCUUGCAUUUUCCAGUGUAGCUCACAUUUGCCGAGAUGUUAAUUAUGGUUGACUCCUACGAACUCUCCACGCCAAUGGUGCCUCCUUCUUCUUUAUUUGCUUAUAUAUGCACACAGGACGAGGUAUUUAUUAUGGUUCCUUCCUUUACCUUCACGCCUGAUCAGUAGGAGUUGUAAUUCUACUUCUCGUGAUGGCAACUGCCUUCCUUGGUUAUGUCCUUCCCUGAGGUCAGAUAUCCUUCUGAGGAGCAACUGUCAUUACUAACCUUUUCUCGGCCAUCCCUUAUAUUGGGCCAGAUUUAGUCCAAUGAAUUUGAGGAGGUUUCGCAGUAGAUAACGCAACACUAACACGCUUCUUUACCUUUCACUUUCUGUUCCCAUUCAUUGUAGCAGCAGCUACAAUCAUUCACAUUCUUUUUAUUCACCAAACAGGUUCUAACAAUCCCCUAGGAAUCGUUAGAAAUGUAGAUAAAGUACCAUUCCAUCCUUAUUUUACAUUCAAAGACAUCACCGGAUUUAUCGUAAUGCUAACUGCCCUUAUUUUAUUAACUUUACUAAACCCUUAUCUUUUAGGAGACCCAGACAAUUUUAUUCCCGCUAACCCUUUAGUUACCCCGGCCCAUAUCCAGCCCGAAUGGUAUUUUUUAUUUGCAUAUGCCAUCUUGCGAUCUAUUCCUAAUAAGUUAGGGGGAGUAAUUGCCUUGGUUAUAUCUAUCUUGAUUCUUCUCAUCUUACCUUUUACACAUGCAGCUAAAUUUCGGAGCCUUACAUUUUACCCUCUUAACCAGACCAUAUUCUGAUCUUUAGUAAGUAUUGUAUUCCUACUUACAUGAAUUGGAGCUCGCCCUGUUGAAGAUCCUUAUGUUAUUACAGGACAAAUCCUAACCGUACUUUAUUUCUCAUAUUACAUUAUUAACCCACUCACCCUCAUCUGGUGAGAUAAAAUACUAGAUUA
rnacentral:misc_RNA from 1 species